UACGAAGGGGGCUAGCGUUGCUCGGAAUCACUGGGCGUAAAGCGCACGUAGGCGGAUCUUUAAGUCAGGGGUGAAAUCCUGGAGCUCAACUCCAGAACUGCCUUUGAUACUGGGGAUCUCGAGUCCGGAAGAGGUGAGUGGAACUCCGAGUGUAGAGGUGAAAUUCGUAGAUAUUCGGAAGAACACCAGUGGCGAAGGCGGCUCACUGGUCCGGUACUGACGCUGAGGCGCGAAAGCUGGGGGAGCAAACGGG
rnacentral:rRNA from 1 species